rnacentral:rRNA from 1 species
UACAGAGGGUGCGAGCGUUAAUCGGAAUUACUGGGCGUAAAGCGCACGUAGGCGGCUUGGUAUGUCGGGUGUGAAAUCCCCGGGCUCAACCUGGGAACUGCAUCCGAAACUGCCUUGCUCGAGUAUGGGAGAGGGAAGCAGAAUUCAUGGUGUAGCAGUGAAAUGCGUAGAUAUCAUGAGGAAUACCAGAGGCGAAGGCGGCUACCUGGACAAUUGCUGACGCUCAGGCACGAAAGCGUGGGGAGCAAAAGGG